UAGACCACCUGAGUUGGUCUAAUAGCUGUGGAACCGGAAUAAUGAUCCCUGGUACUUGUAAAUGCUUCUUGCUCCAAUUUUUACAAGACAUGAAAAUAGAUGCCUUGCAUGCAGUAAUUAGACAGAUUGAAAAACUACAUUUAUUCUAAAGCAGUCUUGAAAAGAUACCUCUGAUCUGCAAUAAAUGAGGAUAAAAUAGAAGCAAAAGUAAACCUGUUUGCAGAAGAGAGAACACUAACCCAGAAUUCUGCCAACUUCCUCUCUACUUUUAAGUGAGCACAUGAGCUAAACUCAGACCUUUUUUUGCACCCAACAAAAAGAGAAAACAACUAAUUAAAAUUUGUUAUUUUCCUUGACUCCUUUCCUUCCUCAGUUAACUGCUUUUUGGGUUCCCUCUAGACUUUCUAUCCCAGCCUCUUCCUGUUGGAAGCAAGUGAAUAUGAAGUUGAGAGAAGAAAGUAGCUACAUAUCAUUUUGCCUUUACCUUGAAAACAAAAAGUCAACUAAAUGAGAUAUGCUGUUUUGCAGGGUAUCUUGCCAAAGAAUCAUGUAAAAUAAAUGGUCAAUUCUAAUUUUUGUGUAUUAUCAGGAAAAUCUUAUAAAUUACAUGUUUUUAUACCUAACUUGCACAUGGUACUUUAGUGUCUAAAAUUGGUAAACUGCAUUAUUUUUUAUGGUGAUCAUUUUAUUGAUGAAUGUUACCAUUUUUACUAGAAACUUAAAUGGCAUAUUGACCUUCAUUGUUGAUUAAUAUGUGUUAUCAAACUGAUAGUUUAUUUAUCCCUCUGCUUUAGGUUUUCCUCUACCUCUUUACCCAAAAUCUUGAUAAGGAAAUACAUAUUUUCCACACACAUUCAUGAGUGUGAGUUGGAUGAAUUUUUUAGCACACUCUCUUUUGCCUGAUUGUGCUUUUAGCAGUGUUUAUAUUGUAAUUGAAUACUUACUGGUUAUUUUCUCCUCUACUAAACUGAAAACUGUGAGGAUAAAAACCGUAUCUUUGGGCAUUAUUUUUUUUGUUGGUGAUGGUUAUUGAUUGUAUCAGCAGUUGCUGGCUCAGUGCUUCACAUAUUAAGCACAUUAACAUAGUGUUUAUAAAUAUGUUAAAUAAAUGAACAGACUAUUGAGCAUCUCUACUGGCGAGGAACUAGCAUACAAAAAUAAGAAUUAUACAAUUCUUAGGUGCCAUUUUGUCUGUAAGAAACUAAUUUUUCCUUGGUUAUGAAAGUGGUUCCUUAUUUUACAACAUCAUCACUAUUGCUACUCAAUUCAGAAUAGAGUUAGUUCAUUUUUCACAUGGUAAUUUUUAUUUAUUGAAUCUGGACUGCUUUAAAAAUUAACAAAGUACUUGAGAUCAUUUUGCCUCCAUGCUGAAAGGUACUGUGUAUAAGGAACUAAUGCUUUAAAGAAGUGGAAGCAUUUAAACUUACAUACUGCUGAAUUGUAAUUCCCUUAAAUGUUUGAGGGAAUCAGGAAAAUUUAGACAGAUGACAGUAUAAUCUUAUGACUAAGCAUUAAGAAUAGAUUAUAUAUGGCAGUAUAGCCAAUACUAUACAAGAUAAUUGGGGGAGGGAGAAAUAAGGAAAGAAUAAUAAUUUACAACUGUCAGGUCCUGCUGGCAUCUAGUGGGCAGAGGCCAGGGAUGCUGCUAAACAUGCUGAUGUGUACGAGGCAGUCUCCACCAACAAAGAAUGAUCCAGCCCAAAAUGUCAACAGUGCUGAGGCUGAAAACCCCUGAUUAGAUGGGUUUUGUUUUUUUUUUGUUUGUUUGUUUGUUUGUUUUAAGACGGAGUCUUGCUCUGUCACCAGGCUGGAGUGCAACGGCGCGAUCUCAGCUCACUGCAACCUCCACGUCUUUAUGGCCUACAAAGUAGCUUAAACUGCAUCUUAUUUUACCAUCAUGACAACCUUAUAACUAGAUUAUGAGAUGGAAUCAUAGCUGUUUAACAGAUGAAGAACUUAGAUCUGAUGAUGUUUGGUCAUUUUUCCAGAAUCAUAUAGCCAGGGCCCCAACCCAGAUCUUCUGACUCCACAUCACAUCCAUUCUUUGUUCUUUUGUUUAAGUCAGAGAAGCUAGAGUAAUUUCUUCUUGCUUUCUCUUAGUGUUCACAUUAAGGAGAGCUCUUCAUCCAGGGAGAUCCUCUUUUAUGACAUUGGGCCUUUAUGGAAUCAGGCUUUUUCUCCCCAGAUAUCAAAUAUUAACUUAAUCAGUUGCACUUCCUUUAAUGCAAGAAUACAAGCUGUGGAAUUGACGCUAGUGGACAUAAAAGUCAAUCACGAAUGUGCUCAUAGGUAAUAUUUUUAAAUUAAAUAUAAAAAUACAACCUACCCUUUGGGAAUAUCUCAAAUUUGCUACAUGUCAUUUUAACUAUAAAGGAGGACGAUCUAAUUUUCAAAACUUCUUAAUACUUUCUAGAAUUCCUUUGUUCUAAGUGGAUUUCACAUAAGCUUUAUGGUAUUAGCAAAUUCUUCUUGAUAUCAUCAAAGUGUGUUUCAUUAGCAUUGAAACCCAAUUGUAAGCAUUUUUUUUUAAAUAUAGCUUUUUUAAAAUCUUAUUUAUAUGGAUAAGUAGUUUCAAUAAUACUUCCUUUUGGCCAAGUGCAAUAUACUGAGUCUAAUGGACUUCUUGGAAUGAACUACUUCUCUUAAUAAGAGCAUUCCUUCAAGCAUCACAAAAAAGUUUUAUAUAUGCAUCUUUAUAGUCACUAAAAUGUCUAACCUGGUCAUAGAUAAAGAAAUGCAAAGACCCUAAUCUUGUAAUCCUGUUUUUUGCGUGCUCUUCAAAAUUUGUAUACAAUGCAAUCAGUCAAAUGUGGAAGAAAAAGCAACUUAGCUAACAGCAAUAUUUGUCAAUUUAGUAGUCUCUCAGGUCAUAUAGAAAUUCACCUUUAAUAUUUUAAGACUCCCUGUAGGUCAGACUGUAUAAUUUUUAUACCUCUUCUACCUUAUUCCUGGCUCUGAAGAAGUAUUGGGAAACUUGUAUAGUAACCCCUUCUUAUUCUUUCCACUGUCCAUUUGCCCUUAAGAGAGUGAGCUAUACCAGGGCAAAAAACGCAACUAAGAGCAAAUUGGUAGAAUAUGUGACAUUUUGCUGACUCUUCCUUUGCAGAGAAGGUCCUGCCAAAUAGUGUGUUUCCUAAGCAAAGUAAAUGUAAAUAUGGAAGUUUCUUGCCCAGUUUUUAGACCAUUUGACCUACAGUUUUCUUUUUUUCUUAAUAUAUAUAUUUUACUGCAUUUUAGGUUUGGGUGUACGUGUGAAAAACAUGCAAUAUUGUUGCAUAGAUACAUACAUGGCAAUGUGGUUUGCUGCCUUCCUCCCCAUCACCUAUAUCUGGCAUUUCUCCCCAUGUUAUCCCUCCCCAACUCCCCACCUCCCACUCUUCCUCCCUUAGUUCCCCCCAUCACAGACCCCAGUGUGUGAUGUUCCCCUCCCUGUGUUCAUGUGUUGCCAUUGUUCAACACCCACCUGUGAGUAA